GAUGAACGCUGGCGGCGUGCCUAAUACAUGCAAGUCGAGCGAACGGACGAGAAGCUUGCUUCUCUGAUGUUAGCGGCGGACGGGUGAGUAACACGUGGAUAACCUACCUAUAAGACUGGGAUAACUUCGGGAAACCGGAGCUAAUACCGGAUAAUAUUUUGAACCGCAUGGUUCAAAAGUGAAAGACGGUCUUGCUGUCACUUAUAGAUGGAUCCGCGCUGCAUUAGCUAGUUGGUAAGGUAACGGCUUACCAAGGCAACGAUGCAUAGCCGACCUGAGAGGGCGAUCUGCCACACUGGAACUGAGACACGGUCCAGACUCCUACGGGAGGCAGCAGUAGGGAAUCUUCCGCAAUGGGCGAAAGCCUGACGGAGCAACGCCGCGUGAGUGAUGAAGGUCUUCGGAUCGUAAAACUCUGUUAUUAGGGAAGAACAUAUGUGUAAGUAACUGUGCACAUCUUGACGGUACCUAAUCAGAAAGCCACGGCUAACUACGUG
rnacentral:rRNA from 1 species